GACGAACGCUGGCGGCGUGCUUAACACAUGCAAGUCGAACGGAAAGGCCCUUCGGGGUACUCGAGUGGCGAACGGGUGAGUAACACGUGGGUGAUCUGCCCUGCACUUUGGGAUAAGCCUGGGAAACUGGGUCUAAUACCGAAUAGGACCACGCGCUUCAUGGUGUGUGGUGGCAAGCUUUUGCGGUGUGGGAUGGGCCCGCGGCCUAUCAGCUUGUUGGUGGGGUAAUGGCCUACCAAGGCGACGACGGGUAGCCGGCCUGAGAGGGUGACCGGCCACACUGGGACUGAGAGACGGCCCAGACUCCAACGGUAGGCAGCAGGGGAGAAUAUUGCCCAAUGGGCGCAAGCCUGAUGCAGCGACGCCGCGUGAGGGAUGACGGCCUUCGGGUUGUAAACCUCUUUCAAUAGGGACGAAGCGCAAGUGACGGUACCUAUAGAAGAAGCACCGGCCAACUACGUG
rnacentral:rRNA from 1 species